UGAUGUAGGCUAAAUGCAAGUCACAGCUUGAACCAGUGAUUGAGCACCUGGUGGGAAGGCAGGGCCAAGCCAGGGGAGCUCAGCUGCGUGUAAUGCAAUACACCUGUGUGACUAGAAGGGGGGGAGGGAAGGGCGAGCCAGGAUCCACCCCUUCCCAGACCUCAUUUAUGGGUUGGUGGUGGAGGCAAGGGGAUCAUUGGAGAUUUGUGCUUGCUGGAGGCUGCCUAGGGGUGAAUAAUACGAAAUGCAAAAGGAACAUGAGCUUAUGUUGUGCCUGUGAGCAGCUGAACAGGAAGAAAGAUUUCCAUGAAGUAUAGAAGUACUGGUUUGUUUCCUCUGGUGAAGAUAAAUUGUCAAGUGCUCCCACCUCUUCGAAGAAGGAAAAAAAAUGAAUUAGCAGAUGUCUUUAUGAUGUGGCUUUCUUGGAGAAUGCAAGGAGAAAGGGAGCUGCAUUUCUUCAUUGCUAGCAAGUCUAUCUGAAUUUCAGCCAACUGCUCUUGGAGAAAUACAGGCAAAUCUGCAGCAGACUUGUACAUGCAAGACUAGUCCUGAAUGUCACAGGAGAAAGACCAACAGAAACAGAUCUUCAGUGCUUCUGCUAAAUGUAACUGGAUUUAAAAGGGAUGCUGCCCAGUGGAAAGGACCCCCAUGGGAGAUGAAUACUUACAGACAAAACCAGUCCAAAUGUUUCUGACAGGGCGGCACAAAGGAUUAAAGACAGAAACAGGAAACCUGCACACCUCUGCAUCUGAAAAGAAACCGCACCAGGGUAAGCUUCAAGUCUCUCGCUGCCUGGCUUCUAGCUUGGAUCCGAAUAGCAGGUUUUGCAUGAAGGAUAGUAAUGAAGCUCUCCCCAGUGGCUAGGCAUGCCCUGGCAUUUUAAUUACAGCCUGUGAAGUUUCAGUUGUUCAUCUUAUUUGUGCUUAUAGCCAGUGUAUGUAUGUGCAAAACCAAAUUACAAGGCAAAGAUCCCAAUGUCAUUUCCCAGUGUCAGGGAAUAUACUCUGCCAAGUCAUUUUUUCAAUGUGAGUCCCCUCAACUCUUCUUUCAGUAUGAAAAGCCUAAGAGAUGUUGUACAGAAUGUUAUACUUCCAGCUCCUUUUUCUGAAGCUGCUUAAUAUUCUUUGCAAACUUUUACUGUGUAUGUGCAUGUGUGUGUGUGAAUUUGGAUAUAUAGUAAAGGCUGCUAGCAGGUAACACAAUAUCCUAUCUUCGACUAAUUUAGAAGCAAAUAGCAUUUUUACUUAAAGUAGUAUAAUGUUCAUAUGUCUGGCUAAUGGCAGAAGCUAUGUCUUGUAGCUCUGUUUUCCAACUUCUUUUGUCAGAAGCCAUAGCACUGCGAUUAUCUGAUCAUCACUGAAUUCCAGAUCUAAACCUGCUUGAAUGAAGUUUAUUUUAUACAAUUGUUAAAUGGUAAUGUACAUAAAUGGGAAGCAAGAAAUUUGCUUUGUUGUUUUGUAUCAUUUGUUGAGGAUGUUCUGUCAGCUGUCACAUUAGCCUUUUAAUUCGGAAUAGAUAGAUCUGGAAAACAGCACUGUAUUUUUUUUGUGAAGAGUUGUUUUUCUUUACUUUAUCAAAGAUGUACUUCUGGAUGAAAUUUCUUAGCUUUUUUAUCAUCUCAGAAAUUUUCUUUGAAACUUGAAACAUCUCUGAGACACAGUGUUUUCUUUGUGUUAUUUGAGUAUAAUUACAGAAAUUAUUAAAGCGAAGUCAGAAUUUACAUUCAAGCAGUAUUAUA